UGAGCACAGACUGGGUGCUGGACAUUUCUGUCCUCCCAUCACCCCCAUUUGUGGAUGAGGAAACUGAGUCUCUGUGGCUGGGGAGGAGGCCUGAGGCUUCCAGGACACUGAGCCCCCAAAGGCUGGGGCGCAGCCUGCAGGAGCCCCUCACCGCCUCCCUGGAACAGAGAGCUAGCAGGGCGGGGGCGGGGUGUAAGUAGGCCAGCGCUCUGUGCAGCGUUGCUAUGGCGCCGCCGUUGCUGCUGUGCAGGCUUCCUUCUGGGCCCUGUUCCCAGGACACCUCGAGCUAGCUGCCAGGCAUCCCUCCCCAGCCCGGCCAGGCCCCAUCGCCACUCAGGGGCUGCUCCCAGUCUCCGAGCCCUCCUCUACCCCCGGGCCCCUUGCCCACCCGCAGGCUGCCGGGGAACGGAGGGAGCCGUGGCAGAGCGUCUGUUCCACCUCGUCACACACACAGCCUGUGCACACACUCACAGCACACACGCGCAGCCACAGGAGGCACUCGGUGAAGGUGAAGCUGCAGGAGCUCCGCCUCACGGUGGGAGCUGCGAGUCACGGGUGCCUGGAGCUCCGAAGGUCUGUGACUCCUAAGCGGGGGAAAUGCCAACUACACUUUAACUGGCCGAGUUCUCCGACCCUGAGUGCUCCGGACGCCUUCCCACCGUCCAGCCUGCACCCAUGCUGAUGAAAUCAGAGCCCCUGGGGUGGGACCCUCCAGAGCACGGGCUCCAGGUGCGUGGGCUUCAGUAGUUGUGGCGCACGGGCUUAGUGGCUCCACGGCAUGUGGGAUCUUCGCGGACCAGGGCUCAAACCCGUGUACCCUGCAUUGGCAGGCGGAUUCUUAACCACUGCGCCACCAGGGAAGUCCUUGAGAACAGUUUCUAACGCAGAGAAGACAGAAGAGGGCCUGUAGGAGGAGGCGGGGAAAAGGCAAAACCAGUUGCUGCCACCAGGCACUAGAGAAGCAUCCAUGUGCCAAUAACAUGAGCUAAGGAAUGCAGCAGGUGCCCGGAGUGCGACGUCUGCAGGCGCAGGGAGCUGAUGCUCGCUUCCUCUGAACAAGCUUCAAAGAGCUGGUCCUGCAGGGCUGCUGACAGUUUCUGCUCUCAUACACUGUAAAACAGCAUCGGGAAUGUUUAACAAGUUUGUCCCUUAUGCCGCCUUGAAUGACAGAAGAAGCCCAUUACGUGCUACAUGCAGACAUUUUUGCUUAUUUUAGCAUAACCUGAUAAUUGGUAAUUUCCACUUCUUUUCAUUAUCUUACCAUGGGUGUGGGUGUUUCCUUUUUUUUUCAAGGUCCAUUAACUUCAUUUAAAUGUUCCCAUCCUUAGUAAUUUCUAAGGGAAACUCUAAGUUUAGAUUUUACAAACAAAAACAACUUGAAGGUAUCAGCUGGUGUUUUAUCCCUUCUUCAAUGCAGUCUCAAAGGUGUUUUUGCUAUUCAUUUUCAUAAUUUUAUUAUGUCAUACACAAAAAUAAGACUCCCCCUCUAAAUGCAGAGUACAGGAGAAAAUACACGUAUUUCAAACAAAAAAUGUUUAUGAAAAAACCCACCAUCCAAAAAAACAAAAAGACUCCCACCCUCUUAAAUUGGGUGGAACCAACUGGGUUUUAUAAAUGAAAAAAAUCCUUCUGCUUUAUUUAGCAUAAUAAAACAUUUCAUUGUACUGCGUUUGU